rnacentral:rRNA from 1 species
GAUGAACGCUGGCGGCGUGCCUAAUACAUGCAAGUCGAGCGCCCCGCAAGGGGAGCGGCGGACGGGUGAGUAACGCGUGGGAACGUACCCUUUGGUUCGGAAUAGCCCUGGGAAACUGGGAGUAAUACCGGAUACGGUCGAGAGACGAAAGAUUUAUCGCCGAAGGAUCGGCCCGCGUUGGAUUAGGUAGUUGGUGGGGUAAUGGCCUACCAAGCCGACGAUCCAUAGCUGGUUUGAGAGGAUGAUCAGCCACACUGGGACUGAGACACGGCCCAGACUCCUACGGGAGGCAGCAGUGGGGAAUCUUAGACAAUGGGCGCAAGCCUGAUCUAGCCAUGCCGCGUGAGCGAUGAAGGCCUUAGGGUUGUAAAGCUCUUUCGGGGGGAAGAUAAUGACUGUACCCCCAGAAGAAGCCCCGGCUAACUCCGUGCCAGCAGCCGCAGUAA